AGCGAACGCUGGCGGCAGGCUUAACACAUGCAAGUCGAACGGGCUUCUUCGGAAGUCAGUGGCAGACGGGUGAGUAACACGUGGGAACGUGCCCUUCGGUUCGGAUUAACUCAGGGAAACUUGAGCUAAUACCGGAAACGCCCUUUUGGGGAAAGGUUUACUGCCGAAGGAUCGGCCCGCGCCUGAUUCGCUUGUUGGUGGGGUAACGGCCUACCAAGGCGACGAUCAGUAGCUGGUCUGAGAGGAUGAUCAGCCACACUGGGACUGAGACACGGCCCAGACUCCUACGGGAGGCAGCAGUGGGGAAUAUUGGACAAUGGGCGCAAGCCUGAUCCAGCCAUGCCGCGUGAGUGAUGAAGGCCUUAGGGUUGUAAAGCUCUUUUGUCCGGGACGAUAAUGACGGUACCGGAAGAAUAAGCCCCGGCUAACUUCGUG
rnacentral:rRNA from 1 species